rnacentral:rRNA from 1 species
AAUAGAUACCCGGGUAGUCCACGCCGUAAACGAUGGGUACUAGAUGUGGGAGGUGUCGACUCCUUCCGUAUCGCAGCUAACGCACUAAGUACCCCGCCUGGGGAGUACGGCCGCAAGGCUAAAACUCAAAGGAAUUGACGGGGCCCGCACAAGCAGCGGAGCAUGUGGUUUAAUUCGACGCAACGCGAAGAACCUUACCUGGGCUUGACAUGUAUCUGACCGCCAUAGAGAUAUGGCUUCCCUUCGGGGCAGAUUCACAGGUGGUGCAUGGCUGUCGUCAGCUCGUGUCGUGAGAUGUUGGGUUAAGUCCCGCAACGAGCGCAACCCCCGUCCUAUGUUGCCAGCAUUCAGUUGGGGACUCAUAGGAGACUGCCGGUGACAAACCGGAGGAAGUGGGGACGACGUCAAGUCAUCAUGCCCCUUAUGUCCAGGGCUACACACGUGCUACAUUGGCGCAUACAGAGGGUUGCAAUACCGCGAGGUGGAGCGAAUCCCAAAAAGUGCGUCUCGGUUCGGA